UUUACUGUCGGCGCCGACUCCCGUUCCCAGUGACCCCCAAGCCAGCGACAGCCGCUAGAGCAGCACUUAAAAAUGGUCUGUGUUUGAGUAGACAAAGUAAGACUUGUUUCCGUGGCUCCUCGUUCUCACCAAAUGUGUCAAGGCCCUCGGAUGAGAAGCCCAGUUAAAUAAACAAGCCGCCUGAAGAGAACACGUGUCCCCAGCGGGCCCAGCAGGUGCCUGGCCGUGACCUCGCUGGAGGUGUGGCGGGGAAGCUGCGCCCUUCUCCAUCUGCCCCCAGAAAGGCCCGCCCUCGCGCCAUCCUCCAGCCUGGGGCUUGCGACCCGCACACUUGUUCCACUCACAAGUACACUCUGCCACGCUGCUAGUGGGCCUUCCCGUCGGCCCUGAAUGAAUUAUGUGUGUUUAUGUCUACACUUCUCUGACCUGGAAAGAUGGCGAGAAGAAAAACCCAUCUUUUCAUUGACCCCUCCGAGUAUCACCCUGCGCUGGCCGGUUGCAGUGCUGGGAGGUUGCCAAUGGCCGUGGAAGCACCUGUCGGACACUGGCGUGGAGCAUGCGCAGGGGCCGCACGCCUGCCCCACUCAGACUCGUCACUUACCCGUGGGUUAUUCCCACUCUGCCCGCCUGCCCUGGCUGAGGAGCAAGGGCUCACGUCGGGGUCAGGGACGUAGGGUGAGAGCGCGGUUCACAGGCCAGGCGUGCUCAUCGCCAUCCCCAUGGAGGCUCGCAGAGGGCCCGACCGUCCUCCUCUGCUUACCUCCCGGAGGCAGGUGAAUGGGAUGAAUGAGUAAAGUAGCACGUGCUCAUCAGCGGGUGGGAGAACAGACCAGCAGGUGCCUUCCCGUCCUUCCCGUGCCUCAGAGCAGACCCACCACCUUGCCAGGGCGCGCUCCCGUCAGAGGAUCCUAACAUCCUCGCUCCGAUCUUGGAACGAUGAAGGUUCAGAGACGUCCGGUUCAUAGCAUUGUUACCUGAAUCCUUCGAGUCCGUGCUCAGCACAACUCAGUAAAUCGACACUCACCGAAGACCUGCCGGGGGCAGAAAGCCCUGUGCUGGAAAACAGAGGACAAAGAGAAAGUUCCUGCCCUCGGGAGUUCACAGUCACGUAGACAGACAGACAGCUGCAGAACAGUGAGGUGGGGGCCAGGAGAGGGCUGACCACCCCUGCCACAGAGGAGAGUCAGGACAGACCAGAAGGACAAGGACGAGUGUGCCUGGAAGAGGAAGUAGGAGUGGGCAGGCUGGGCCGGGGAACUAGGGUCCUGCGGGUGGUCCCCCGUGGCUGGAGUGUCCAGGCCUCCAGGCCGGUGAAGCUGGCAGGGGUGGGCCGCGCGGGUGUGGUGAGUCUUCAGAAGGAACCUGCGUCUUAUCACAGGGCUGACGAGCACUUUUAGUAGGCUGACGUGUGGUAUGUAUCUCGGAAAGAUCACACACGAGAAGGUUGUCUCGGGUAACUUCACAGUUUCCUUAAGACUUUAGAGUCACUUGCUGGGAAUCCCAGUUGUUCAGUGGAAACCAGCUUAGAAUCAAAAAGACUGGUGUUUUGUUCUGGCUCCUUCGUGGUCUAGGUUUGUGACCUUGAGCAGAUCACUCUCUCAGCCUUUCUUUCCUCAUGAGUGCCCCGGGAAAAGCAACAGCUGAGGGGCGCCUGGGUGGCUCCGCCAGCUAAGGGACCGGCUCUGGAUUUCAGCUCAGGUCAUGAUCUCGGGACUGAGAGAUCAAUCUUCACCUCAGGCUCCAUGCUCCAUGCAGAGUCUGCCUAGAAUUCUCUUGCUCUGCUCUUUCCCCAACUCACUCUGUCUAAAAAACAAAUAAAUCUUUAAAACUACUAAUAAUAACAGCUGAUUGGGCUUGACCUGCGUCAUCUGUGACGUUCACUCAGAACCCACCCACAGCAUGUGCUCACACACACACACAAGCGUGUGCAGAUACGUACCCAUCAGCUUUGUAAAUCCUCCAGUGUCGUGGAAUAUAGAUGGUCGCAUUUCCGCUCAGCCAGCCAGCCUCUGAAGUCCGCAUCUGCGUGGGGGCCGUGUAAAUCAUCACUUUUUCUGUUGCUGUCCCUCUCACAGACUGCUUCCAGGACUCUGGGGUGCCCAGCCCCUCAAUUCUGCAGCUUUCACGGGGUGCAGGUACUUUAUGCACAUGGUUUCAUUGAACCUGCUUCAUCUCCCUAGGAGGCAGGUAGAGAAGCUCCUCUUAUUGACAAAGGUACCGGCCUCAGUCCUUCUCAGAAUUAGGCCUAAUAAGGGGCGCCUGGCUGGCUUGAUCGGUGGAACAUGUGAUUCCUGUUCUCAGGGUUGUGAGUACGAGUCCCAGGUUGGGCAUGGAGCUCACU